rnacentral:rRNA from 1 species
UACAGGGGGUGCAAACGUUGCUCGGAAUCAUUGGGCGUAAGGCGCACGUAGGCGGUUCGUUAUGUCGGAUGUGAAAGCCCUUGGCUUAACCGAGGAAGUGCAUCCGAAACUGGCGAGCUAGAGUACGAAAGAGGAUCGCGGAAUUCCCGGUGUAGAGGUGAAAUUCGUAGAUAUCGGGAGGAACACCGGUGGCGAAGGCGGCUCACUGGACCGGUACUGACGCUGAUGCGCGAAAGCGUGGGGAGCAAACGGG